rnacentral:rRNA from 1 species
UUAAUGGAGAGUUUGAUCCUGGCUCAGGACGAACGCUGGCGGCGUGCCUAAUACAUGCAAGUCGAGCGGGGUUGAUUAGAAGCUUGCUUCUAAUCAACCUAGCGGCGGACGGGUGAGUAACACGUAGGCAACCUGCCCACAAGACAGGGAUAACUACCGGAAACGGUAGCUAAUACCCGAUACAUCCUUUUCCUGCAUGGGUGAAGGAGGAAAGGCGGAGCAAUCUGUCACUUGUGGAUGGGCCUGCGGCGCAUUAGCUAGUUGGUGGGGUAAUGGCCUACCAAGGCGACGAUGCGUAGCCGACCUGAGAGGGUGAUCGGCCACACUGGGACUGAGACACGGCCCAGACUCCUACGGGAGGCAGCAGUAGGGAAUCUUCCGCAAUGGGCGAAAGCCUGACGGAGCAACGCCGCGUGAGUGAUGAAGGUUUUCGGAUCGUAAAGCUCUGUUGCCAGGGAAGAACGUCUU